rnacentral:rRNA from 1 species
AUUGAACGCUGGCGGCAGGCCUAACACAUGCAAGUCGAGCGGAUGAAGGGAGCUUGCUCCUGGAUUCAGCGGCGGACGGGUGAGUAAUGCCUAGGAAUCUGCCUGGUAGUGGGGUAUAACGUCCGGAAACGGGCGCUAAUACCGCAUACGUCCUGAGGGAGAAAGUGGGGGAUCUUCGGACCUCACGCUAUCAGAUGAGCCUAGGUCGGAUUAGCUAGUUGGUGGGGUAAAGGCCUACCAAGGCGACGAUCCGUAACUGGUCUGAGAGGAUGAUCAGUCACACUGGAACUGAGACACGGUCCAGACUACUACGGGAGGCAGCAGUGGGGAAUAUUGGACAGUGGGCGAAAGCCUGAUCCAGCCAUGCCGCGUGUGUGAAGAAGGUCUUCGGAUUGUAAAGCACGUUAAGUUGGGAGGAACGGCAGUAAGUUAAUACCUUGCUGUUUUGACGUUACCAACAGAAUAAGCACCGGCUAACUUCGUG